UACAGAGGUCUCAAGCGUUGUUCGGAUUCAUUGGGCGUAAAGGGUGCGUAGGCGGCGCGGUAAGUCGGGUGUGAAAUCUCGGAGCUUAACUCCGAAACUGCAUUCGAUACUGCCGUGCUUGAGGACUGGAGAGGAGACUGGAAUUUACGGUGUAGCGGUGAAAUGCGUAGAUAUCGUAAGGAAGACCAGUGGCGAAGGCGGGUCGCUGGGCAGUAACUGACGCUGAGGAGCGAAAGCGUGGGGAGCGAACAGG
rnacentral:rRNA from 1 species